rnacentral:rRNA from 1 species
AAGGGGUAACUGAGUGGCGAACGGGUGAGUAACGCGUGGGUGACCUACCUUCGAGCGGGGGAUAACGUCCCGAAAGGGACGCUAAUACCGCAUAACAUCCUGCCUUUGAACAGGCGGACAUCAAAGCCGGGGAUCGCAAGACCCGGCACUUGAAGAGGGGCCCGCGUCUGAUUAGCUAGUUGGUGAGGUAACGGCUCACCAAGGCGACGAUCAGUAUCCGGCCUGAGAGGGCGGACGGACACACUGGGACUGAGACACGGCCCAGACUCCUACGGGAGGCAGCAGUGGGGAAUUGUUCACAAUGGGCGCAAGCCUGAUGACGCAACGCCGCGUGGAGGAUGAAGGUCUUCGGAUUGUAAACUCCUGUUGCUCGGGACGAAAAGCUUCGACCUAACACGUCGAAGUCUGACGGUACCGGGUGAGGAAGCCCCGGCUAACUCUGUGCCAGCAGCCGCGGUAAUACAGAGGGGGCAAGCGUUGUUCGGAAUUACUGGGCGUAAAGGGCGCGUAGGCGGCCUGUUAAGUCGAACGUGAAAUCCCCGGGCUCAACCCGGGAACUGCGUCCGAUACUGGCAGGCUUGAAUCCGGGAGAGGGAUGUGGAAUUCCAGGUGUAGCGGUGAAAUGCGUAGAUAUCUGGAGGAACACCGGUGGCGAAGGCGGCAUCCUGGACCGGUAUUGACGCUGAGGCGCGGAAGCCAGGGGAGCAAACGGGAUUAGAUACCCCGGUAGUCCUGGCCCUAAACGAUGAAUGCUUGGUGUGGCGGGUAUCGAUCCCUGCCGUGCCGAAGCUAACGCAUUAAGCAUUCCGCCUGGGGAGUACGGUCGCAAGGCUGAAACUC